AGACCUCUAAUCGGAAAAGACUACCCGCUGAGUUUUA
rnacentral:rRNA from 1 species